GACGAACGCUGGCGGCGCGCCUAACACAUGCAAGUCGAACGGAGCUGCGAGAAGCUUGCUUUUCUUAGCUUAGUGGCGAACGGGUGAGUUACGUGUGAUUAACCCGCCCUGGAGUUGGGGACAACAGUUGGAUACGACUGCUAAUACUGCAUAAGCCCACGAUCCGGUAUCGGAUUGAGGGUUAAGGUUUUAUUCGCUUCAGUAUCGACUGGCGUCCAAUUAGGUAGUUGGUGAGGUAACGGCCCACUAAGCCGACAGCUGGUAGCCGGGCUGGGAGGUUGACAGGGCACAUGGGAACUGAGCCAAGGCCCAGAGUCCGGCAGGAGGGGGCAGUGGGGGAUAAUGCACGGUAGGGGGAUGCCUGAUGCAGCGGCGCGGGGUGAAGGAAGAAGGUUUGCAGAUUGUAAACUACUGUCGUUAGGGACGAUAGUGACGGUACCUGACGAGAAAGCACCGGCUAACUACGUG
rnacentral:rRNA from 1 species